GUUUCAAUCCUCUGCCAUCUCUCUGCUCCCUGGAGUCAGCCCAAGGAAGAGAUAUCCUAUCGACGGCAGUGGAAUGGUUCCCCCUGCUAAACCUGAACAGUGCUUUCCUGCUUCCUUAAAGGUUUCAAAAAUGUCCAGCUGAGUGAAUUGGAAUAAAAGAGGGUACCACAGAAUGCAAAAUCCACCCAGAUCACCCUCUGAUGCUGACAAGACCUGAAAA